GGAAUCUUCGGCAAUGGACGGAAGUCUGACCGAGCAACGCCGCGUGAGUGAAGAAGGUUUUCGGAUCGUAAAACUCUGUUGUUAGAGAAGAACAAGUGAGAGAGUAACUGUUCUCACCUUGACGGUAUCUAACCAGAAAGCCACGGCUAACUACGUGCCAGCAGCCGCGGUAAUACGUAGGUGGCAAGCGUUGUCCGGAUUUAUUGGGCGUAAAGCGAGCGCAGGCGGUUUCUUAAGUCUGAUGUGAAAGCCCCCGGCUUAACCGGGGAGGGUCAUUGGAAACUGGGAGACUUGAGUGCAGAAGAGGAGAGUGGAAUUCCAUGUGUAGCGGUGAAAUGCGUAGAUAUAUGGAGGAACACCAGUGGCGAAGGCGACUCUCUGGUCUGUAACUGACGCUGAGGCUCGAAAGCGUGGGGAGCAAACAGGA
rnacentral:misc_RNA from 1 species